GCUGUUUGUUUACCAGAAGCAACUCUGCUUUUGUUUUUCUUUCAUAAGUUGAGAAUGAUAACUUUUUUUUCUGAACUUCUGUCUGACAUUGAUAGAAAUCAAGAGGGCUUGAGUUGAAGAAACAUGCAACUAAAAUACAAUGAAUUUGUAUGAUAACCCGGGAAAAGGCCCAAUUACAUUUGAUCAGAUAAUUGGUCUCUCGUCCAUAAAAAUCUGGUGCAGUUACAUGCACUAGACCAAGUAUGUAUAUAGCCCAACUAGAUAGUUACAUUUCUCUGCUCUCAUGCUGCAUGGUAGCUUUCAACCCCUGCUGACAACAUAUGCCCCGAUUCAGACAACUUAAACCCACUUAGUAAACGUGUCUCUGCAUGCCGGGGAGGGGAUACAUAGGAUUCAUUAGUUGCGGGGACUAGAAGAGAGUGCCGAUUUCAAACAACACGACAAAACUUUGGUUAGUAAACUAGCAUAUUCUACCUAAGUUCCCGGCAAAGCUCUUCUGUAGAUUUCUUACAUUUCACUAGGGAGCACAAUUCAGUCAUUACUCAUUUGCACAUUCAACAUUUUGCAGGACCACUUACCCUCAUCGCCUCACUUUGAAUCCAGCAUUCUCGUGUUAAAGCACCGGAUUAAUUAGUCCAUUUUCAAUCCUGCGUUAUUAGCAUGGACAUUGCGCUAGAGACGCUUAGUUUUGUCCUAAGCAUCUCAGAUUCUCAGACACUUAUGCAUGCUGCUGCUAUCGUUACUAGGAUGCGUGUGUAUUUAAAGUUCUGUAAUCGACAUGUACCAAAGAAACUGUAUUUUGCUUCCUUUUUCAUAAAAAAAGAAAGAUGCGAGGGAGAGGAGAAAAUGAGUUAUGAUCAAUAGUGAUAAUAUGGGCAUGGUAAUGACUAAUGUCUUUCUGUUUGUUGAUUCUGAAUGAAAGUUUACGUUGCAACAUGCAACAAGUCACGAAUCAUAAUUUCUCUGUCAGUUAACAAUAAUGCAGAAUCUGAAAUACUUCGUACUGGUUACAAGUACAUAAACACCAUUAAUUGAAAAUUAAAAUUAAGACAAAGUGACUAUAUAUUUCAACCACCUUUUUAGUCGACCUCUGGAAUUGGCUUUAAUCUCACACCACCAACAAUACUGUUUGAUUGAAUGCAGUAAGCUUUGAGUUCUUUAAGUUAUUAAACACAACUUAUUCUUAAGUUAUGAUUAGUUUUGAGUUGUUGAACUAAUCGUAAUUUGAGUCGGGUUUAAGUAAAAAUCACAAAAAGUACUGUAAGAUUCAGAUAUGUGAGCAAAUGCAUAUUAGCAUAGAAGAAGAUCUGAUUUGUCUAUAAGAACUUAACAAACAGGCUUGUAUGGCACGCCCUUUCU
rnacentral:lncRNA from 1 species